GACGAACGCUGCGGCGUGCUUAACACAUGCAAGUCGAAGAAAGUGGCGGACGGGUGAGUAAUGCUUAGGAAACUGCCUAUUAGAGGGGGAUAACAUCUCGAAAGGGUUGCUAAUACCGCAUACUAUUAGAUGAGCCUAAGUGGGAUUAGCUAGUUGGUGGGGUAAAGGCCUCCCAAGGCGACGAUCUCUAGCGGGUCCUGGAGGAUGAUCCGCCACCAUGGGACUGGAGCACGGCCCAAGCUCCUUCGGGAGGCCGCAGUGGGGAAUAUUGGCCAAUUGGGGGAACCCUGAUCCCGCCCUGCCGCGUGGUUGAAGAAGGCCUUAUGGUUUUAAAGCACUUUAAGCGAGGAGGCGUUACUCGCAGAAUAAGCACCGGCUAACUCUGUGCCAGCAGCCGCGGUAAUAC
rnacentral:rRNA from 1 species